ACGAAGGGUGCAAGCGUUAAUCGGAAUUACUGGGCGUAAAGGGUGCGUAGGCGGUUCGUUAAGUCUGUCGUGAAAUCCCCGGGCUCAACCUGGGAAUGGCGAUGGAUACUGGCGAGCUAGAGUGUGUCAGAGGAUGGUGGAAUUCCCGGUGUAGCGGUGAAAUGCGUAGAGAUCGAGAGGAACACUUAUGGCGAAAGCAAGUUACUGGACAGUAUCUGACGCUGAUGCACGAAGGCUAGGGGAGCGAAAGGGA
rnacentral:rRNA from 1 species